UACGUAGGGUGCAAGCGUUGUCCGGAAUUAUUGGGCGUAAGGAGCUCGUAGGCGGUUUGUCGCGUCUGCUGUGAAAACCCGAGGCUCAACCUCGGGCCUGCAGUGGGUACGGGCAGACUAGAGUGCGGUAGGGGAGAUUGGAAUUCCUGGUGUAGCGGUGGAAUGCGCAGAUAGUCAGGAGGAACACCGGUGGCGAAGGCGGGUCUCUGGGCAAUAACUGACGCUGAGGAGCGAAAGCGUGGGGAGCGAACAGG
rnacentral:rRNA from 1 species